GUGAGUAGUUCAGAGUUUGAUCCUGGCUCAGGACGAACGCUGGCGGCGCGCCUAACACAUGCAAGUCGAACGAAGCUCUUCGGAGCUUAGUGGCGGACGGGUGAGUAACACGUGAGCAACCUGCCUCAUAGAGGGGGAUAACGUUUGGAAACGAACGCUAAUACCGCAUAACACCUUUGAAGGACAUCCUUCGGAGGUCAAAGGAGCAAUCCGCUAUGAGAUGGGCUCGCGUCCGAUUAGAUAGUUGGCGGGGUAACGGCCCACCAAGUCGACGAUCGGUAGCCGGACUGAGAGGUUGAUCGGCCACAUUGGGACUGAGACACGGCCCAG
rnacentral:rRNA from 1 species